UCGUCAGCUCGUGUCGUGAGAUGUUGGGUUAAGUCCCGCAACGAGCGCAACCCUUGCCUUUAGUUGCCAGCAUUAAGUUGGGCACUCUAGAGGGACUGCCGAGGAUAACUCGGAGGAAGGUGGGGAUGACGUCAAAUCAUCAUGCCCCUUAUGCUUAGGGCUACACACGUGCUACAAUGGGUGGUACAGAGGGUUGCCAAACCGUGAGGUGGAGCUAAUCCCUUAAAGCCAUUCUCAGUUCGGAUUGUAGGCUGAAACUCGCCUACAUGAAGCUGGAGUUACUAGUAAUCGCAGAUCAGAAUGCUGCGGUGAAUGCGUUCCCGGGUCUUGUACACACCGCCCGUCACACCAUGGGAAUUGGGGGCGCCCGAAGCCGGUUAGCUAACCUUUUAGGAGGCAACCGUCGAAGGUGAAACCAAUGACUGGGGUGAAGUCGUAACAAGGUAGCCGUA
rnacentral:rRNA from 1 species